AAAAAAAUUUGAGGCCAAAGGGCUGAGAGCUGCUACAAAAUCUAUCAUGAAGAUGAAGCACUGCAAACCAAUAAAUACAAGUGGUGGAAUUUGUAAUGUGAGCUCCUGCGUUUAUCCCCACAUCAAAUCCACAUCUUUCUGCCAUGAGGCUGAGAAAUACGUCGAAUGUCUGACUGUAUAUGAGAGCCGAUUACACUACCAACUUAGCUAUUUACUCACCAGGACCUGUGCCGUAUUCACGGCACUUGCUGAGCAGGGAGUAUCCGCCAUGCAGCGAUGCGUCUGUGCUGGGAGAAUCGCGUAAAGAUGUAGAUACGUG